rnacentral:lncRNA from 1 species
UAUGGGGUGACCAGUCCCUCUAUGGGGUACCCAGUGCCAUUAUGGGGUACCGAGUGCCAUUAUGGGGUGCCCAGUGCCAAUAUGGGGUACCCAGUGCUGUUAUGGGGUGCCCAGUGCCACUAUGGGGUACCCAGUGCGGUUAGGGUGAACCCACUGCCAUUACGGGGUACCCAUUACCACCUGCUUGUACGCAUCCCCACUAUUUGGCAUGCCUAAUGCUCACUAUUUGGCAGCACCCAUGACCCCCAUUUGUCACUCUCACGCUCACUAUUUGGCACUGCCUACACUCACUAUUUGGCAGCACCCAUGACCCCCAUUUGGUACAGCCCACGCUCACUAUUUGGCAGCACCCAUGAUCCCCAAUUAGCACUGCCCAUGCUCACUAUAUGGCACUCCCAACACUCACUAUUUGGCAGCACCCAUGACCCCCAUUUGGCGCUCCCUGUGCUCACUAUUUGGCACUCUCAAUGCUCGCCAUUUGGCAGCACCCAUGACCCCCAUUUGGCGCUCCCUGUACUCACUAUUUGGCACUGCCCAUGCUCACCAUUUGGCAGUGCCCACGCUCACUAUUUGGCAGCACUCACCACCUGGGCUCUGUAUCCCGUCCUGUUGUCCGCCAUGGCCGCCAAGGACUUGAGGAAGGGGAACAUGGCGGCCUUGGAGUGCGCCCAGCAGCCGACCAGCAGCUUCACCUCCACCCUGCGCUCAAACACGGCCCGGCGCAGCCGGUCGUCGAUCUCCGGCCAGAACCUGUGGGGGACAGCGGGUCACGGCGCCGUUUGGUGCUGCCAGGACCUGUGGGGUGCCAGAACUCCGGGUCACCCAUAGCCCUGCCAGGACCUGUCGGGAUGCCAGAACUCCGGGUCACCCAUAGCCCUGCCAGGACCUGUCGGGAUGCCAGAACUCCGGGUCACCCAUAGCCCUGCCAGGACCUGUCGGGAUGCCAGAACUCCGGGUCACCCAUAGCCCUGCCAGGACCUGUCGGGAUGCCAGAACUCCGGGUCACCCAUAGCCCUGCCAGGACCUGUCGGGAUGCCAGAACUCCGGGUCACCCAUAGCCCUGCCAGGACCUGUCGGGAUGCCAGAACUCCGGGUCACCCAUAGCCCUGCCAGGACCUGUCGGGAUGCCAGAACUCCGGGUCACCCAUAGCCCUGCCAGGACCUGUCGGGAUGCCAGAACUCCGGGUCACCCAUAGCCCUGCCAGGACCUGUCGGGAUGCCAGAACUCCGGGUCACCCAUAGCCCUGCCAGGACCUGUCGGGAUGCCAGAACUCCGGGUCACCCAUAGCCCUGCCAGGACCUGUCGGGAUGCCAGAACUCCGGGUCACCCAUAGCCCUGCCAGGACCUGUCGGGAUGCCAGAACUCCGUGUCACCCCCAGCCCUGCCAGGACCUGUUGGGGUGCCAGAACUCCGGGUCACCCACUGCUCUGCCAGGACCUGUUGGGUGCCAGAACUCCGGGUCACCCAUUGCCCUUCCAGGACCUGUUGGGUGCUAGGACUCGAAGUCACACACAGCCCUGCCAGGACCUGUUGGGGCGGCGGAACUCCAGGUCACCCAUAGCCCUGCCAGGACCUGUCAGGAUGCCAGAACUCCGUGUCACCCACUGCCCUGCCAGGACCUGUCGGGAUGCCAGAACUCCGUGUCACCCACUGCCCUGCCAGGACCUGUCC